UCGGCGCGUCCGGCUCUGACCUGCCGCCCCCUGGCGGCCGCGCGUGGACCCGCUGGCCCCCUUGUGCGACAUGUGCUGCUGCCGGCCCGGGCUCCAUGAGCGUGGCGGGCACUUGGCAGUGUGGGGUGUUCACCCUGUCCGAUUUUCUCUUGAUAAGCUGGCUUGAGGGGGAAAGAACCGGAGAGGGGAGCGGGCUGGUGGCUUCUGUGGGACCGGGAGAGGAGGAAAUUAGCAACGUGGCCACGAGGAUCACAGCAGUUGGGGAAACAACUCUUUAUCCCGGCUUGCAGCCACGAGGUCUUGAUGGGGGGAGGGGUGGUGAAGAAUGGUCCCUCGGUCGCUCUUUUCCUCUGGUUUGAGCUACUGCCCCGUAGAGUUGAAGGUUGAUGGUGGUCGUAUGAACAGUAUUUAAGGGAACACAUUAAUUCAUGCACGGAUAUUUGACUCUUUGUAAUUUUUCAACUUUAUCCUCUUGUUACCGUUUUUUACCCAAUACAUUGUUGGCCUGCCUCUGUUCUUGAUUUUGUUUUUUGCUUUUGCAAAUGGAUGGGAUUCUCAUUUACGAACGAUAGAAAUGAGCACAUUGGAAUAGGGUGUAGAAAGUGGUAGUAAUUCUGAGCAAAUGAGCUUAUCCUUUCUCUGUCUCACCCCCUCCCCCCAACCCUAGUCAUACACGUGGACCUAGCAGCACCCGAGGCUUUACCCAAGGAUACUUGCAGAGAAGGAAGUUUGCCUGGUUGGUGUCUGCCCAUUUGGAGGACAGAAGAAAAGAAAUCGCUGCCUUUUGGAUCUGGAGUUUUCCUCUAAAAGGUACUGACAAGUGCAGCUGCCCUGCUGAUGAUGGUUCUCAUUGGGGUAUAGCAUGAUUUUUGUGGACUUGGGAAACCCUAGUGUAAGGAAGAGCCAACAUCAACAUGUACAAUUUGGACCCUUGUGCUUUUAGAUGAUUUUUCUCUUGUUGGAUUUAAGCUGAAAUGUAUGUUUGUCACAGGUGUUAGAGCUUUGGGCUGUUCUUCUAAUUAUUUAUUUCAAAUUUAGCAGGACUAAAGAGAACACCACCUUGAGACCCUGAAGAGUGACCAGUCAGAAUAAUGUCAAAGUGCUUACAGUGCAGGUAGUGAUAUGCGCAUCUACUGCAGUGAAGGCACUUGUAGCAUUAUGGUGACAGCUGCCUCGGAGGGAGCCAAGGUGGGCCUGGAGUCACAGUGAGGGCUGCUGGUGCUGCUGAGUGCUUUUUGUUCUAAGGUGCAUCUAGUGCAGAUAGUGAAGUAGACUAGCAUCUACUGCCCUAAGUGCUCCUUCUGGCAUAAGAAGUUAUGUCCUCACCUAAUCCGAGCCAAGCAAGCAUGUAGGGGUCUUAAUAGUUUUGUGUGCAGCCCUCUGUUAGUUUUGCAUAGUUGCACUACAAGAAGAAUGUAGUUGUGCAAAUCUAUGCAAAACUGAUGGUGGCCUGCUAUUUACUUCAAGUGUUGUUGUGUUUUCCUCUUUUUUUUUUUUUUUUUAACUAAUUCUGUACUUUUAUUGUGUCGAUGUAGACCCUGCGUGGUGUGUGAUGACAGCUUCCGUAGCACUAAAGUGCUUAUAGUGCAGGUAGUGUCUAGCCAUCUACUGCAUUACGAGCACUUCCAGUACUGCCAGCUGUAGAGCUCCAGCCUCGGCCUUCGCCCACUCACACUGUCCUGGUACUGAGCACUGGUCUAUGGUUAGUUUUGCAGGUUUGCAUCCAGCUGUAUAAUACUCUGCUGUGCAAAUCCAUGCAAAACUGACUGUGGUGGUGACAAGUCUGUAGAAAAUGAGGGAAACUCAAACCCCUUUCUACACAGGUCGGGAUUUGUCGCAAUGCUGUGUUUCUGUGUGGUAUUGCACUUGUCCCGGCCUGUUGAGUUUGGUGGGGAUUGUGACCAGAAGAUGUGAAAUUAAUAUUGCUGAAGAUGCCGGUUUCCACUGUAAAGAGAUUGUGUGAACUCUUUGUAACUUCUGUUGCUUUCACUGGUGUAAAACUUAUGAAGGUGUUUUGGAUUUUUUUUUUAUUAUUGUUAAUUAGGUUUGUCUUUUACUAAGUCAUUUCACCUUGGGGUUUGUAUCUCAGACAUUUUUGCGGGCUUACACGCACGGGUACCCAGUAUGAUAGCGUUAGAAUGGUGCCCUUUGCUGACUUGGAGUCUAGAGGAUCCCAGGGCUGUGUUACUCAAACACUAUUCAACUGGAUUGAUGGGAGUUACGAAAACAUUUUCUUUUAAUCUCUGUGUAGAGUUUUCCUGUUACACCAGGUGAGGUGUUUUCUGAUGGUGCUGUUUCCCCGUAUGUGGUCUUGGGAGCACUGGGGAACAGGCUUCAGCUCUGUUGAGUGCAUACCCUGUUUAAGGGAAAGAUGACAAGCUCAUGACAACAGAGUGACAGGUGUGCCUGCUUUCCUGCUGCCCUGGAGUGUCGUGUCCUGCCAUUGACAGCAGAGAAAGUUUUCUCCAAGUUUCCUGUUGGAGCUCCCUCUGUCUAGAUUUGGGCAGCACAGUUGGUUCCAGCUGUGUGAAUAAAUAUCAUUGGAAUAAAACUUAAAGAAUAGUAAACUUGGUAAGGGUGAGCUCAUAAACCAGAUCUAAGGUAAUAGUACUUAAGCAAGUAUAUCACCUUGGAAAAAGUAUUAUCUUAAAAAUUUGGAAUUGUCGUAGCCUUUGUAGUAGACCACCUAGAGUUUAAGUUUUCCAUCUCUUAAGUGCUACUUUUUAAAAGAAAUGUAAGAAGCUUAGUCUUGGAUUCCUGAGCAGCAAGGUAAGGACUGAAGAUGGAGGGUGACUGUAAGAUGCAUGUAUGUUCAGGGUAAAGGGCGAUCAGAAUUGUACAGUUAUUAAUACAAAGGGAACGUGCCUUUAACCUGAGUAUUGAGCUUUAUGAGGUGAAGAAAGUGGAGACCAAUCCUUUAAAAUGAUGAGUUCUAUAAUAUGACAUUAUUCAUGUGUUCUAUAAGGGGUCUGUUGAUUGUGUUCUAAAAUUUUGAUAUGUUCAUCUUUAAAAGUAGGAAGUCUGCUGGGUGCUUUUUUACAUAUGCUAAGUUACAAGUUUAAAACUAAUGUGAUCUUAAAUUAGUAUCCUUGGAUGCUGAGUCUGUGUCAUGGUAUUUUUGUUCAAUGUUCUUCACUAGAUUGUAUUCUAGCAAAGCAAUUUGUUUCUCUCGGGUCCCACAGUGAAGUUAAGUUUUUUCCAAGUAUUUUUUAAUUCUCCUUUAAGUUCGGGGGUACAUAGGAACAUGAACAGAGCUGUGUAAACCUUGGUUCAACAGAUAGGGUGUCUUACUACUAAUUUAAAAACAGUUUUGCUCUUACACUUUGGUCUUGUAGCUUAGGCCUAUAGGCAUUCAGGAAAGAGGGAACAUGUAGUUUUCUUGUAUGUUACAUGUAGAUAGUUGUUAAAUUUACCCUCUAUUAGGAAGGAACCACUGUGAGACUGUAAAAAUCCUUACUAAGUGUUGACUUAACUAAAAGUCCCUGAGAUGUUCAUUUUAACAGGCCAGCCUAGGCCAGGCAACCAUCUGGACUUUUCACUGUGCAUGGUUUGAAGAGUCAGUGCAACCUGCAGCUGUCUGGAGAAAGAGCAAGUCACUGUCACUAAAAACCUGUUGUAUGUAUAAUGAAAUUCUGUUGUGUAACUGAUAACGCUAUGUAGUUUGUCUGCCUUCAUGCAGCUUUCCAGUUUAUUUUUGUAUAAAUGUCUGCUUUGCUCUCUGCUCGGUCAGAAUUGAUGUGCUUUUUCAUUAGACUGAAUGGUUAUAUCAUUGCCAGUUUUGUAUAGGAUCUAUUUAGAGGGCCCUGUGAGUUUUAAAGCAUAGGAACAUGGUUGCCGGGGUUUGAGUGCGUGAGUCAUCAGACAUGGGCAGAACAUGGAGCCUGCAGAGUGCUGCUCAGGUUCCUUUGAUGCUAAAUAAACACUGUGUUAAAUUUUCAUUUCUUGUACCUGAUGAGCAUGUUGAAAUAAAGUUAACUUGUGGCACUGGU